AACCAGUACGAGUAGAUACAGUGCUAUCAUCAGGGUGUAUUACUCCAAGACAUAUCUUCAGCAGUUCCAGCUGAGACAUAGAUGCCAUUCUCCUUUGUAUGCUUUUCUGUUGCUAUUGAACUAUUGAAAAGGAUAAUGAAGGGAAGUGGGAAAAAGAAACCCAAACCUUGCAGCAAAACUAAAUAGACAGACACAGACACAGACACAGACACAGAUUUCUAGGUUGGAAGAGACCUCAAGAUCAUCGAGUCCAACCUCCGACCUAAAUAAAUGCAUAAAUAAAUAUAUGGUCAAUAUAGAAUUUGGAAAAUAGUUUAUUUCUAAUAUAUAAUGUUUAUUUCAUCAGAAAUAAUAAUGUUUAUUUCAUCAGAAAAUAAAGAUGUGUGAAACUUUUGGUCAA